rnacentral:lncRNA from 1 species
AGUGCCCGAGUUUUGUCUCUGGAGAGGGGAUUCGGCCGCCAAACCUGCCGCCGAAAGACCCCUAUCCAGCUUUUCUUUGCCCAUUUUUCCAUGCAUGCUUAUGAUGUUUUAAGGGAUUUUUGGGGAGAUGUUUAUAGCUAUAUUAGAGUAUGUUUGGUCCUCAUUUGAGUCCACCUGUGUAGGUGCGGACCCAAGGAACCAAGGAGGCC